UCCGUGUCUGAGAAGAUUGAAACCUUGUUGGGAGGGGGGCCUGGAAGGAGUGGAAAAGUGGAGAAACAUCUAGAAAGGGGUGACAUCAGAAGACUCCUGAUUGGUUGAUUAACUUUGAUCCGUUGGGAUUCUUUUCCUUAAGUAUAGAGCUUGAGACCCAUAGCCUUUGUUCCCUCAGGAAGGUUCUGAAAGGUUGCUUCUGACUGUUGCCUAUGGGAGGCAACCUAAGCAGGGUUCCAUUGCUUGUAACUGAUGCUAUUCUCUCUGAGGAGAGACGAAACUUCAACCAACUACCUCCUAUCUCUUCAUCCAGUCUGCAUGAAUAAAAGUUAUUGAUGUUUCCGGGGGCAGGGAAAAGAAAAAGCAAGCAGAGCAUAAGACAGAAGCAGAGCAAAAGCAGAGCAAAGAUCAAGCAAGGGUUGCCUUAGAAAAGUGUGGAGAAACUUCAGUUGGUGCAGAAUGCAGCUGCGGUCUGUUGACAGAAGCCUGUUCCUGUGAUUUUGGUGAUGCAAAACCACAUCAGUUUCUCUUUCCACAACUUCUGUUUGGCCAUACUGUCAGAAGAAUUUGCUGUCUCAGCUCUCAGCUAUCCUGCCUGUGGGUGUUGAUGAGACACAUGCAUCUUGUGAUUCUAUAAAUCUCCCAGAGACGUAUUCUGGCAGCCUGCUUACAGAGUGCAAGUUGAAGAUAAGAAUAACUUUAUACAAAUCCUAAAGAAAGUGGCAUACAAAUACAAUCUCUAACGCUGUGUCUGGUGUGCUAUCUCACAUGGAUCUCUUAUAGUACAAUACUUACAGGUCUACUCAGAGGUAAGUCCCACUGAGUUCAAUGGGGCUUAAUUCUAGGGAAAUGAGUAUGGGAUUGCUGCCUUAAUUUCUUGUGGCCACCCUCUCUGCAAUCCUAUACACUCUUACUUGGGUGUAAGCAUAAUUGAACAUAGUGGAGCUUAGUUCUGAGGAAACAUGCCAAGGAUUGUUGUUCAGUCAUUCUUUCCUGCACAGCCAGAUUUAUCCCUGUGUCCAGAACGCUCCAAUGGAAUAACUGUAGAAAUAAAUCUGGCAAUUUUGUUUCCAUUUAAAACACACACACACACACAUUUCUCUUCCGCAUACUUUUCUGCUCUUCCAACUGGACAGAUAAGUUUCAAUUUUGGUGUAUAUCGAAAUAAAUUGUCUCAAAUUCUGCACAUAAAACUUUUUCUACUGAUAUUCCAUGGCAUGAUCUACUUUUUACAUUGAUUAAAUUAUACCCUGGACUGUUUUUACAAUUAUAUAUGGUAUAUAUGGCUAUUUUUCUCUAUUUCUUUUCACCUAAUUUAGCACAAGAGUUUUGUCUCAGUAUUACAUACAUACAUUGCGCAUUGCAUCCCCCUUGAUUUUGGGGAUUGAAAUUCACAAUAUUAUGCCAUAAAUUUAAAAACGUAUUUACCGUCACCAACAUUUGCUAACAGUAUUUCCUUAGCUUUCUCCUUGAAUAGUUUAAACAAUGUUAACAAUGAGGCGAGUUGUUUUGGCAGUAUACUUACUGUAGCUAUAAAGGACUAAUAAGAAAGCCAUUGGAAGUAAGCCCCAUUUAAUGGGGUUUCCUUCUGAGUAGACAUGCAUAGGAUUGUGCUGCUAGCUUUCAAUGCUGAUCAACUAACUGGGACUUUCAGAAAUAGUUUUUCAGAGUCAGCCAUUUAAUAUGUUAUACAGACAAUACCAAACAGCUACAACAAAAAAGACAAGAUAAGAAAAUAUAGCAUCCCGUUUCUCACUGAGAAAAAGGAACAUUUCUGACGAAUUGGCUUCCCCAUCUCCUACUUAAGACAAUUUCUGAAUAAUAUCUGUUCUUAAACCAUUUAUAUAUUAUCGCCCAAAAGGUUCCUGGGGCAGAAAAAUAAAUAUGCCCCAAAUCUUCUAGAGACAGUGUGAUUAACACUGAGUUGGUUAGGAAAAGAAUGUUCCCAGCUGACCACUGGAGCAGAACAUGGGUCAAAGUUACCUGCUCUGCAACUUGACACCAAAACACCUGGAGAACCACUUCACACACAAAUUUCAAGUCUGUAGCGCAAUAAUAGAGCAAAUGAUUUGUAGGCAAAAUGGCCCAGAUUCAAGUCCUGGCACUGGGAAAGAUUCCUGCCUGAAAUCCUGGAGCCACUACCAUUCAGUAGCUAGUUGCACCGAUCAUCUGAUCUGUACAAGGCAGUUUCCUAUAUUUUCAUAUGACUUCAUUUAUUUCAAUAAGCAGUUGAAAGUGUAAAGCAUUUGCUACUGAAAUGUACUUCGCCCAGAUGUAUGGGCUGUAUCCAGCAUUAGUCAUGCUGAAAUUAAUAGAUAUGAUUAAAUUAGGUCCCUUAAUUUUAAUGGGUCUCCUCUGAGUAUAACUUAGUUGGAUACAACCCUGUAUUUCUAACACUUCAGUAGUGCAAUUGACUGAGAACAGCUGGGCACAUUAUACCAUUAUUUCCCACUCCAAUGUCACCCCUCUGGGCAAUGCUGGGUAGGAAGUAACUAAUGCCAGAUCCACACUGUACAUUUAAAGCAUAUGGCUUUACCCAAAGAAUCCUGGGAACUGUAGUUUGCCUCUCACAGAGCUACAAUUCCCAGCACCCUUAACAAAACACAGUUUCCAGGAUUCUUUUGAGGAAGCCAUGUGAUUUAAAUGUGCUUUAAAGGUAUAGUGUAAAUGUGAUUUUAGCCAUUCUCCCUCAUGCAAUUCUCAGUUCCAGAUGUUAGUGCUCUGGUCAGUAAUUCUGAACAUGUGGAAGUGGCAACCUUGUUAAACAGGUACAUAUAAACCAGGCCUCCACUGUGGGAAGGAUGCUCCACUGCUGUACAGACAACACAUAAAAAUUAAAGAAAAAGAGAAAUUCAUGUCAGCUCGUCUGAGGUUGAGAAAGAAGCCAUUACUUUUACUUUUACUUACAGCGGUGGGAUAGUUAUCAUAAUCACAGCAGAGGCAGGUGACUUGAGAAAGUGGAUUAAUUUUACAGCCUCCAGAGACUUAAGUUGCAGUAGACACAUUCUGCAGCAUUUGAUGAGCUCACCUUGGCUAUAUAGCAGCUUAACUAGCAAAUCAUAAUUUAAAAAAUCAAUGUAGAGAAUGCCUUAUCUUCUGCAUGUUGGUAUUUAAUUUUUAGAAAGAAAUCUGCUUGUAGAAAGAAAUCCACAGCAAGAAGCUGAAGUGAGAGAGAUGUCUAAGCAACAUAUUUUAAUUAUCCAUAAUAUGCAAUACAAAAUGGUGUGUAAAUAUUGACGAAUAAUUUUCACACCACAGCUGAGUAACAGAAAUGCAUGGUGAAUCAUUGUGGUUAUUCCUGCCUCACUGGUAAUCUAGAGGCAUGUACAAGAGAUGACUCAUCCAAGGUCAGAAAGAAAUGUUACUGUCAGGAUGAUGUUCAAAGGGAAGUGUUGAAUUGGGAUUUAGGAAUCCCAAUACACGUAGGAAGAUUUGGCACACAUUGCAGUAUUCCCAAUCCCAUAAAUUGUUAUUGGAAAUGGGGCCUAUUCAGUCUGAACCCCUUUUACCCACUAUUUAUCCCAGAAGGAAGUCACUAAAUGUAGAGCAAACCUCCCUUGUGGAACUGAAGGAGGAUACUAGAACUAUUCACCAGCAGGCUCUCAGGAGGGGGAGCAGGAAGUCCUUUGACUUUUCCUAAGAACAUCCCAAUUCAAAACCCUCACAUGUCUAUUACAAAAUCUAUUAUUCCCCUGCAGGGACACAAGAAUCUCAAAAGUAAAUUGUCACGCCUCAACAAAUGGGGAAAGGAAACCUUCAUGAGAGUUUGAAAUCAAAUUAGUCUUUUGUAACUCACCCUAUAAAGGAAGUUAGAUAUAGGUUUUAGAGUUCAGAUGAAAAGAAAGAGUAUCCAUGAGGAUCUCCCUUUUAUCCACUUAGGCUUGUGAGAUGGCUCCUAAUUCUAUGCUGUACUGCAUUUGAAUUGUAUUGUAUAUUGUUUUGUGAUUUAUUUAUUUCUUGUAUUUUUUUGAGCUUUGCUUGGUAUAUUGGUUUGGUUUUUCUUUGAACUGUGAUCUUUAUUCUGUACAUGUUUUUGAGUGUUUUUUUAAGUCACUUUGAGUUUCAUUUUGAAAAAAAGUGGAUGAUGAUGAUGAUGAUGAUGUUAGAAUUCAGUGUUUCCAUAAAUUUAAAAAGCCACUUGACAAUUUAUUACUGAUGGUUGGAAAUCAGGAACUUCAUUGCAAUUUCAUACUUUGGCCAGUGGAGACUGGUUCAUUAAGGUGAAUGAAUGGGGCACUGCUCCACCAACCUCAGUCUGCCCCCAGCCAGCCCCUCUACCUGCCAGCUUCCUUAUAACCAGUCAAAGAGGUAUUCUUCAAGUACUUGAAAGGUUGUCACACAGAGGAGGACUAGGAUCUCUUCCCGGUCAUCCCAGAGUGCGGGGCAUGGAAUAAUGAACUCAACUUAUAGGAAGCCAGAUUUUACCUGAACAUAAGGAAAAACCUCUUAACUUUUAGAGCAGUAUGACAAUGGAAUCAGUUACCUCGGGAGGUGGUGGGCUCUCCAGCGCUGGAGGUGGUUGAGAGACUGCUGGACAGCCACCUAUCUAGUAUGCUUUUCGUUGGAUUUCUGCAUUGAGCAGGUGGUUGGACACAAUGGCCUUAUAGGCCUCUUCCAACUCUACUAUUCUAUUAUUCUAUUUUCCUGUAAAUGGAGCAUGUUCAAACACACCAGAUCAUCUGCUCAAUUGAUUACUGGAAAGCCUUUGGACUGCAGCUUGGAUAUUCCAUAUCUGGACAAUUCUGCAUGUUCUCCCCCAUUCUGAAUGUUCUCCCCCUCAUUCACACAAAUAUGCACGCUCACACAUUUUCAUCAGUGGAAAGAGAUCUGCAACCAAAGAGGUGAAACUUAUUCCUGUGAUUUUAGCCAGCCAAAUUUCUGAGAUAAAGAUAAACCUAGUCUGCCUGGGUUUCUGACAGAAAACCUCAGGCUUUUUGUAUAUACAUAAUUAGUAGGGCUGUCACCCAAUGAAAGAAAACGGUUUUUGGGAAUAAAAAAAGGAUAGGACACAGAAAAAUCCAUAAAAAGGGUCUGGCAGAAAAAGACUUUGCUCUGCUUACCCUAAUCACCCUGAAUAGCCUCUUCUAAAGGCUGGGUCAGAGGAUCUAGCUGAAUUAGGCAUACUAUGGUGCAAGGGAAUGAUGGUGUAAUUGGGAAACCCUGAAAAUCACAUGGAGGCACCUUCCACAAGCAAAGCCUCCAUUCAUGGAAGGUGCUUCCAUCUAAUUCUGGUGAACCCACUUCUGCCUCAGCUCCCAUGCCCACCACAUUCAGCAGGGUCCUCAGAUGGUCAGGGGAGACUUUCUGAGGGGCUUGGGGGCUGCCAGAGGGAGAAAGUGGUGGGAAAAAUAGCUUCCAUCAGCCACUUUCCAUGAGCUUUGCUCUAGAUCCAACCCAAUAGUUCUGAACAAAAACGUUUGGUUUCAGGAGAUAUCAGAGAAGGUAUCUUAGAAGAGGCUUCAUUAUGCAUUCUCUCACAUGCAGGAUGGCAUGCCUCUUUUAAGACAGUGCUUUACUUUUACAGUAUUUGUAUUCAAAAUAAUUUAAACCAUUUAUAAUCUGCUGACCAAUUAAUCAGAGACACUAUUAAAGUUAAUUUUAAAAAGAUAAAUAAUUUAAUUUAACUGAUUAAUCAACUAAACAUUGCAGCCCUAACGAUUAGUACUACCACUAAAACUAAUUGCUGAUUAAAGAUGUUUUAGUUGUGUAAUCACUAGGUUUUAAAUCUAUGAAAUACACAGAGCUUGGAAGUAACUCGUUAUUUUUAACGAGUUACUUUUAAUUUGUUACAAUUUUAAAUAACGAGUGGGUAAUUCCAUUACAUUUGGCAAGUAACGGAAUGAAUAGUAAUUUCCCUACUUUUCAGCUUCAACUUUAACGUUUCCACGUUAGGUUGGACGUUACUUGGGGGCGGGAACAAGGGGAAGUCAGCUCCUGGCUGUGAUUGGUUAACACAAGACAUGUGCCUCACACUGAUUGGACCUCUGCGCAGACUGUCUCUUCCCUUGUGAUCUGUGUUAGGAGGCACAUAGAAGAGAUGAAUAGGCAGGGGGAGCCUCCUAGCGUCUGACUCUGAGAGGAAAAAAUGGACGCCGGAGGAAAAAGCCAGGGCAAGGAAGGCAGAAUGGCGAAGAGCUGUGGAGAGACGCCUGUUGCAGGUUUUGCUGCUGAGAGCAGCAGUCAGUUAGUGCGGCCACUUGAGUCACAGCUUGUUGAUCCUGAGGAGGCAAAACUAGAAAGUGAGGUUCAGAAAGGAGGCCCUGUGCACGAGGAGGAGGAGGGCAUGAAGCAGUGCCAGUUGCCCACAGCCACAUCUGCAGAACAGCAAGUACCAUGGUUUGGCUUUGAGAAAGCUUGUACAUUUGUGAGCCAGAGUGGGGAAAAUGUUGUUGUACGAUGCAAUUACUGCCUUCGAAGGAUCAAAAAUCUGAGAUCAGCUGUUUCCCCCUCAUCCAAUGUGAAGAAACAUUUUGAGAGGGCACACCCUGAGAAGCUGAGAGCAAUUGAAGAAGCAAUAAAGGCAAGGAGACGUGGCCUUCCUGAACCAAUGCAUGACACCCCUCCUCCCAAAAUGCUGAAGCAGCAGCAGACAACCCUUGAGAGGUGGGGAUCUGGCAGGGAUCUACUUCUUCUGGCAGCCUGCGUACACCCUCGCUUCAAACUAGAUCGGCUGGAAUCGUGUCAGGCCACCACCCAUACCAACAAAUACACAAUGGAAGCCUUGUUGAAAGCUGAAAUAUGGGUGUACUUAAUGAGGACAGUGAUCAGUCUUCAGAUAAAGACCAGGAAGGAGAUGACUUAGAAGAUGACUUCUUUAACUUUCUGCCCCAGGGCAAGAAGUCAGCAGUGGACACUGCUGAGGAGGAACUGGUGAGGUACCUGAGGUCUCCCAGCAGGGAAGUGUCAUCACUCCAUGGCUUUCCACGUGUGCUGCGGUGUUUUUUGCAGCACAACACAGGCAUGCCUUCAAGCGCCGCAGUAGAACGCCUGUUCAGUACUGGUGGCAACGUAAUGACUGUAAAAAGACAUUCCUUGUCUGACAUGCUCUUUGAGCAUCUUGUUCUUUUGAGACAUAACAGAAACAUAUUAUAAAAGCAUUUCAAGUGUAAAAUUUGAUUUCAAGAGUUGGGGUAUCUUCAUUGCUUGGGGGGAUGUGAGAUUCUGUUAUGCCAUUAUGUUAAUCUUAUGGAAAUUUUUUUUUAUUCUACUACCCCGUGUGUGUGUGUGUGUUUAUUUUUAAUAUUGUUUUAGGCUUCUUAGAUGUGCAGCAGCCAAGGCCAGCACCUUGUAGGAGUUUUUUAAAAAAAGUAACUGAAAUGUAAUUGUAGUGAUUACUUCUGAGAAAAAGUAAAGUAAUCAGUUACUUUCAGAGCAAUUGUGAUCGUAACGGCAAUUACUACUUUUUUGGGCCAUGUAAUUGUAACUGUAAUUUAUUACUUUUUAAAAGUAAUCUUCCAAGCUCUGGAAAUACAAAAAAGAUUAAAUAUAACAAAACCUUAACAUACUCAUUUUGGGAAGAUCUUAAAGGAAAUGUGAUAACAAUUGCCUUUUCCCCUUUCGGUAGCAGAUGCCUCCACUGGAUCAAUGCCCCCCCCUUUAAAUGAAAUAACAUGAACAAAAGGGCACCUUUAGAUCCAGGCAGUAGUAAUAGCAGUAAUGAACAAUUGUUAGAAGGCCAUCUUUAAUGCUUUCAAUGUCAUUCUAUAACACGCCAAGCUUAAAAUAGACUCAAAUUAAGUGUGUCUGUCCGUCUGUCCCACCAAUUAAAAUAUGUACCCUGCAACAAAACUAUCAGUUCUCUCAACUGAAGCUUGCAUUUCUAUAGCUCUAUGUAUAAAGUAAACUAUCCUUAUAAUCUUUAUUUCCAUAAAUGAUCCAAUAGAUCUACAACAGGUCUACUGUUCAAUGCACUUUAUAGAUUAGGAGCUUUGCUAAAAUGAAAGACUGUGGUUGGCCCAAUAGAUUUAGUGCAGCCAGAGAGAGGUGAACCCAUUUCCCAGGCUAAACCCAAGCAAUCUAAAAUGCAAUCCUAUAAUGCUUAUUCAAAAGAAAAUCCCUACUGAAUUCAAUGGAGUUUACUCCCAGCCCCAGGUAAAUGGGAUUAGGAAUGCAGCCUUAAUUAGACUCUCCCAUAUCAUUUAAGAAUGUACCCUAAGCAUUGAGCAGGCUGUUAUUUAUAUCGGCAGAAUUUAGCACUUUUUGGAAAUCUAUGAAUCUUGUAUAACACUCUGAGAGUCAGCAUGAAAAAUACUUGAUUUUGCAGUAUCUUGAUAUCUGUGAUGUGACAUGUUCAUAAUCUUGUUGUACUGCAGACACCUCCUGGCUACUAUUGCAUCUUUUAGUGUGACAAACUUCUGAUUCUUUUUUCCAAUGUAUUAUUUUGCACAUUGCUAACCCACCUUGGUAGUAACAUGUAAUUUUCUACUAAUCGCUAUUCUCCUACCCCUUUUACUUUUUCUUCUGGAUUGGUUUUUCUUUUGUUCCCUUACAGUCACAAUAUUUGUCCCUGCCAUUAGAUUUUUGAAAUGGUGUUUUAGACUCCUUGUACAGUGCUAGCUUGUGUUUUGCACAACAUAUUUGUUUGCUUUUUUCAUAAUUUAUUUUAUGAUUUUAUUUCAUAAUUUAGUUUAUGAUUAUCAUUUAAUUAUGCACAAUUAUUUUGGACAGGAAAUGUACAUCUUGAAAGGUCUAAAAAGAUCUAAUCAACUUAGCACCUUAUCCAACUCUUAAUUAUGUUUCUUUACAUCCAUGCAUGCCCAACAAAUUAUUUAUGAUCAAAAGAGUGUUCCAAGCCAGGAGUGAGAUUACAGAGCAACAAAAAUACAUGCCACAAUCAAUGUAUGGGGAAUGUAUUACAACAGAAGACAGGAUUAAAACCUCACCAACAUCACCAAGCAGAUUUACCUGAGGAAGGGAAAGUUACUUUCAGCCAGAAAUAUAGCAAUCAGUUAGAGCUCAAGUAUAAAAGUAUACCCAAUUUAAGAGCAUUGAAUACAUUACUGGAGCAGUGUGGGAGUCAGUUCCAUAUACCUAGAUUUCAUGUUGCUUUGGGAAUGGGGGCGGGAACAAUGUGACUUGGGCAAAUUAAGUGGUUCCUUCCUGUACCAUCAUCAUUCAUCCUUUGGGAAGAAACCAUGUCAUUUGCCUGAGCCAUAUGGUUCUUCCUCACUAAUUGUAGUAAAGUAAUAUGGGGUCCAACCAUGUGUGUAACUUUUUUUUCAUGUUGUGAGCCGCCUUGAGCAUAGAUUGCUAUGGAAAGGCGGCAUACAAAUAAACAGUGAUGAUGAUGUUGAAGCUGCUCCAGUAACAUGAGAUUUGCCCAUAGUAUCUCAUCUCCUGAUGUCAUUUUUCAAUUCUCAUGUUUCAGACAAAGGACAUUCUUAAACCACGGGGGGACAAACCCUUAUUGCUCUAAGCUUACUUAAGCACCAAAUCUGUUGCUCAGUAAAAUCUGCCUUUAUAAGAAGCUGCCUUUUAAAGCUAAUGAUCCAUCUAGCCCAAUGAUAUCAGCCCCAACUGACUGCAGCUUGCCAGGGUGCCUGGCAAAGGUCCCAGCCACGUUAGUUAGAUUUCUUUAAGUGAAGCAAAGCAGGUGCACUCCCACUGGGCAAUGCCCAUUCUCUCGCAAAUUACAUUCUUUCUUUGAGGGCUGAAAAUAAAGUGAGGGUCAAAAAAAGACGACAAAUGAAUUGAAGCCAUGAAGGAUGAAGAACUGGUGCAGCAGUGUCUUUGAUAUGGUGGAACAGUGGCUAUGAAAAUGAAUUUUUUUGAAGAAAAGUUGGCACUAAGCUGGCUACUUAAUUUGGCAAGAAGGGACAUGUAAUGCUACUCUACACAAGCAAACUCUUGAGCAGAGGUGGGUCACACAGGACAUGAGAGGCUACGAGUCAGCUAGCAUUGCUUCAGAUAAGCUCUUGCACUGGAGUAUUACUGGGAAAAAAUGUUGGUAUAAAUGAAUGAAAUGGAGAGCGCCACACCUAGAGGACAGUAUCAGCACACACAACCAAAGAGAUUUAUGGGAACUCAUAUUAAGAUUUUACAUGUCCUGGGUUUGAGGAGGGGAAGAGGAUAUCAUUCAUUUCCUUGUUCUAAUUCAUUUAAAUGAAUGCAAAAUUUAAAUUGCCUAGUAAAUAACUGUGAGGGAGGGGGAAAAUGUGAAGCGAAAGCAUAUAACAACAACUUGUAAUACUUAUGCAAAUGAGGAAACCAUUUUUUGGGUAAGUUCUCAUAGUAAUUUACAGUUGGAUGCUUAACAUACAGUAGGGUCCAUGCAUAAGAAAUGGCCUGCUGGAUCAGGCUAAAGGCCUAUUUAACCCAGCAUCCUGUUGUCACAGUGGCAAACUAGGUGUCUAUGGGAAACCCACAAGCAGACUUUGAGUGCAACAGCACUCUCCUUGCUUAUAACUCCCAGCAACUGGUAUUCAAUGCUCAGGACAGAAAUGAUUGCAGCCCUAAAGGUAAAGGUGUCCCCGCACUUAUAGUGCGAGUCGUUUCCGACUCUUAGGGUGCUGUCUUGCAACGUUUACUAGGCAGACCAUUUUAUAUGGGGUGGGAAUGCCAGUUCCUUCCCCGGUCUUUCUUUACCCCCCAGCAUAUGCCGGGUACUCAUUUUACUGACCACAGAUGGAUGGAAGGCUGAGUGGACCUCGACCCCUUUUACCGGAGAUUCGACUUCCUCCUUCCGUUGGAAUCGAACUCCAGCCGUGAGCAGAGCUUUGGCUGCAUUACUGCCGCUUACCUCUCUGUGCCACAGAGGGCAGCCCUAUUUGGGUGUUAAAUUGCUGCUAAGAGAUCUAGCAAUACUUGAUUGCUCUUCCCCCCGGACAAAAUAUCUCACUGUGGGCAGUUCUGAAGGAAAUUGCAAUUGCUUCUGUUCUGAAGGAAUUGGAUACAGUGUGCUUUUCAAAGAAAGCAUCUUCUAUCCUCCAAAUCCCCACAUAUUUCCUAAAUUAAUACUACGGAAUAAUAGAACAGCCAGCCACUAUUUUUCUUCUUAGUCUGAACCAUGAGGAGCAGUAUUCAUUUAAUCACCACUAUAGUAAAAUAUGAACAUUACAGAACCUGGGAAUAAACUGCCAUUGCUUGAAUGGGAAGUGUGAAUGGAUCCUAUUGUCUAUCACAGCAUGGUCUCAGCCCUAUUUGUUCCCAUAGAUGCUGUCAUGACAAUGCCAAAAGAAUGGCCUCAAAAAUAUUUAUUUCACUGGGCAGGCAACAAAUCUCUCACAGCUAGCUAUCAUUAAUUGCCUUGGUUUAAAAGAGAAAGUGCAAACAUUUAAAUAAGGAUCUCAUCUUGUUACGGUGGCAUUAUUUUUAUCUGUAUUUACUCAAAGGUUGUCACUCUGGGGUCCUUCUGGGAGGAAGGGCAGGAUAUAAAUUUAAUAAAUAAUAAAAUAAGUUCUACUAUGUUCAGUAAAGUUUCAAUACGACUGCAGUAGUAAUGAUAGGAACAGUAUUUUUCUAAUAUUUUAGAAAUAAUAUUUUUGAGUUUCAGCUAGGAAUGAAAUGUUGCAGUAGGCAUAAAAGAAUGAUACACAAAUCAGAACUCAAGACUGAAUGGUCCAUACUGGCUCAUAGUCCAGAAAAUUAAUUUUAUUUUGUUUUUGCUUAGUUUUUAGGGAUCUUAUUGAACACUAUUGUACACACUUAUUAGUCUGUAAAACAGUGUAGAGAUUUGUAUUAUAUUAAGCAGUAUAUGUUUUUAGAUAAAUAAAUAAAUACUGAAGUAAAUAGAAGGUAGAAUGCACCGGGCAAUAUAGAUUUAGCGGGAGGUUGAUCCAGGUUAAUACGCAUAAAUUGUAUUUGAAACACAGUAAUUAGAUUGAGAAUAUACAAGGAAAAGCCCUAAAAUGGGGAAAUAGCUGCGUUUACGGGGUUGAGCUGAUCAUAAAGUAGGUGCUGUUGGAAUUGAGGCACUAAUUGCACUAACUAGUGAAAAUGGUCUUAGCAACAGCAUUUUCAGCGGCUAUAAGUGGGCCAAGUUGGGAUUUACCAAAGCUAAAAAUGUGGAGGCUGCAGGAGUCUGAAAGUGACUGAGAAGAGAGUUGUGAAGAGAGAGAACUGUGUGAGUUGAGGGGGAUGUAUCUUAUGCAAGAAUCAGCUAGAAGUGCAUUGGAAUUUUAAAAAACAGAAUGCAGAAAACAGAACUUCAUUUGCGCCAUAGUGCGAUUAGCAGUAAACAUAUAAAAGGGUGCAACUAUAUAGGCUCUUGGAUUUCCUAUCCCAGUACACCAAGGGAGAUUAGCCUUUGCCAACCUGGUGACCUCCAGAUGUUUUGAACUACACUUCCCAUCAGCCCCAGACCGCAUGGGCAAUAGAUCACUGAGGUGAUAGGAGUUUGUGUUUCUUUUCUUUACAAUGAAAACAAGGAGAUGAGGGGAAAUGAGGGAGAAAACAGGCUGCUGAGAAGAUACACUAGAUUCAGCUUCCUUUUCAUGUUGCAUUCACAACAGUUAUUAUAGGCUUGCUCAAAGUGUUCUCUCUAGGAAGAUGGUUAUUUAUCAUUUUAUGAAGAGGGUUAACAGUUUCAUGAGUUACAUCAUUACUGCUCCCGCUUCACAGGCGAAGAGCUUAAGAUUGAGAGGUAAUUAAUAAAGACAAGAGCUGUACAGUGAACUCACAGCUGAAGAGAGAAUAUAGUUUCCUAUAUCUAGUGUAUCCAAACCAUCACAUCAGUCUCUUGAAGCUUAAAAAGGGCAUAAUACUGACCUUUCUACUUCUCCACCCCAUGUCCCACCCUUAUUUACAACACUGCAUUGUACAAAUUUAUAUUGGUCAAUUAAUCACACUUUCAAAAAACACAGUUAGUGAAUCUCCCUUCACACUUACUCCCACCGUGCUUUAAAUACUUAAUUUUUUAAACAAUCUUUCAUAUAUGUGUAUGUAUGUAUUUGCUAUGACAGCAUGAUUUCUUUCUCACAAAAGCAUUUUCUCAAAAUAGUUUCUCACAGGAAUUUUAUAAACUUAUUUCACAGAAUGUAAACUAGCCUCAAUUUCGAUUCUCUCAGUUUCUCAUUUUUCCACUCUUAAAUUCGGUUCUCCACAUUUCUGCAGCAGUGUACGGUGUUUUUUUUAAGAAAAAGUGCUCAUGAAAAUUCUUCAUAAUUUUAGUGAGAUUUUUCCUAAUACAUUUUUGUAUGCAGUUUUGACUAAUGUACACAUUUUUGCAAGCAGUUUGUCCAAAUAUGCAUUUUGUAUGUUAUUUUCACCAAUAUAUUCAUUUUGUUCACACUUUCCCCUAAUAUAUGCAUUUUUGUAAACAUCUGUUAGAGGACAAAAUCUGGAUAAGUGUGAAUUUCGAAGGAUGGGUGUGUUCUGGUCCUCAUAUUGAUUUGGAAAGCAUAAAUUUGAUAAAUUUGGCUUUAAAUGCAAACUGAAUUGAAUUCCUCCCCCCAUCCCUACUUAUAAGGCUUUCUAAGACGUACAUUCCUGUUCUUUAUCCACUUGAAACUCAAUUCUCUAGUUACAUUUUUUUUUACUACAAUGAUCUAGGAGGAUGUUUUAAGAAAAAAAUGUCAUAUGCUUUGCUUAGUAGCAAAGGAUCAAACAAGGUACAGUUGUGUUUGAUUACUGUGCUAUACGGCUGGUCUCAAAUGGUUUUUAUGUUCCCUUCAUUUUAAAAAAAGAAGCUCUUAGCCCAAUUAGACAGUGACAAUGCCUGGACCUCCUCCCCCACACCCUUACCCUGAAAGCUAUGCAGAGGACCAAAUGACAAUAAUGAAGAGUCUUAUGCAAUUAAGGCACAGUAAAGUUUUGUUCCCUAAUUGCAAAAACCACAUCCACUUCCUGACACAACACUCCCAUCAAAUGGAUGUACAGUUCCCUUCAUAAAAAGAUGUGACGGAAUAAGGCACAGCUGCCUAAUUUUUCCAUGAGACAGUGGACGCUUUGCAUCCUGCUGACAAAUACUCUUCUUCCCCAUUCUCUACCCACCCUCAUAGUACGGCAACAAUGAGCUUUUAUGCAGAAAAGCACAUUCCUUGUCAAUCUCUCAGUACAAAAAAAAAAGGUGCUUACCUUCUACAGGCUUAGAAAGCUAUUUUCCAGUGUGAUAAUAAUGAAGAUGCUUUAUUACUUCACUUCAGCAUCUCCCUUCUAUAGCAGCUUACUAGGAAUACAGAUCUCCACCAUUUCUCUGGUCACAUGACUAGUACUUCUAAAUAAGGAUGAUCACCUGCCUUUGGAUACUGUGCUAUAUAUAAUAGAAGUAACAGCAGCUCUGAGAGGCACUGGAAUUUAUCUGCAAAUUAUGAUAAUUUCAUGGCCCCUGCAGAGUUGUGUCAGACUAAGAAAUAUAUAUAUAGUUCUUCCUUUCCAGAGAUAAGGAAAAAAUUUACAGUGAGGAAAAGGCAAAAUAAAUGAACUUGUAAUCGACUUAAACGUCCAAAGCCAAUUUUUCAAAGUUGCAUGAGGCAUAAAUAUUAUGACAUAUUUCAGUUAAAACAUUUUAGAAGUCAAACUGUGGUUCAGAGUUUGAGCAACAAAGAAGAUGGAAGGUCUCUCUACGCAUGUAGAGAGUGGGGAAUGGAAUCUGAGAGAUUUUAUGGAAAGUUCUGUGAAGUGGGUUUGGGGUAAAAAUCAAACUAUCAAAAUACUAUACUAUAUUAUAAUGGCUCAUACUAUACUAUAAUGGCUAUACUAUAAUGGGAAGCAGGGAGGAGAAUACAAAUGUACCCACUAUCAGUAGCCAUCUUGUAUGGCUCAGGGCCACAAUAUCUUUUGCAGUGCCUCUCCCAAUAUAAAUCUACCCAGACCCAUCAGCCUUUAUCUGACCUCCUCCAGGUGUCCUCUCUGAGGGAGAUUCAGACGGCGGUAAUAAGGAAGAGGGCCUUUUCAGCUCUGGCUGAAUGCUUCUGGAAUGCCUUCCCCAGUGAGAUCCGCCUAGCACCAUCAUUAACAUCCUUUUGACACCAGAUAAAACCCUUUUUCUUCUCCUAGACGUUUGACAGCUAUGAUAAGUGUUCUGGUUACUGCCAACUGUUUUCUGUUGCUGAAGGUUUGCUGGGUCUGUUUAUAGGUGAUUGCAAUGGUUUUAUUGAAUUGUAUUCUUUUUGUAUUUAUUUAUUUAUUUAUUUUAUUUAUAUCCUGCCCUUUCUCCCAGUAGGAGCCCAGGGCGGCAAACAAAAGCACUAAAAACACUUUAAAACAUCGUAAAAACAGAAUUCAAAAUAUAUUAAAGCACAACAACAAUUAAAAACGUAUUAAAACAAAACUCUUUAAAAACAUUUUUUUAAAAGGUUUAAAAUAUAUAUUAAAAAGCAAUUCCAACACAGAUGCAGACUGGGAUAAGGUCUCUACUUAAAAGGCUUGUUGAAAGAGGAAGGUCUUUAGCAGGCACUGAAAAGUUAACAGAGAUGGUGCCUGUCUAAUAUUUAAGGGGAGGGAAUUCCAAAGGGUAGGUAUCACUACAUUAAAGGUCCAUUUCCUAUGUUGCGCGAAACAGACCUCCUGAUUAGAUAUAUCUGCAGGAGGCCCUCACCUGCAGACAGCAGUGAUUGACUGGAUAUAUAAUGAUAAGACCGCCUUUCAGGUAUCCUGGUCCCAAACUAUAUAGGGCUUUAUACACCAAAACUAGAACCUUGAACUUAGCCUGGUAGCUAAUAGGUACCAGUGCAAUUCUUUCAAUAGCAGAGUGACAUGUUUGUGAUAACCUGCUCCAGUUAGCAGUCUUGCUGCCGCAUUUUGCACCAGCUGCAGCUUCCAUAUAAUCCUCAAGGGUAGCCCCACAUACAGCGCAUUACAGUAAUCCAAUCUGGAGGUUACCAGUGCAUGGACAACAGUGGUCAGGCUAUCACGGUCCAGAAACGGCCACAGCUGUCUUACCAUCCGAAACUGGUGAAAGGCACUCCUAGUCACUGAGGUCACCUGGGCCUUUAGCAACAAAGAUGGAUCCAGGAGCACCCCCAGACUACAGACCUGCACGUUCAGAGGAAGUACAACCCCAUCCAAAGCAGGCAACUGGCCAAUUACCUGAACUCGGGAGCCACCAACCCACAGCGUCUCCAUCUUCCUAGGAUUGACAGUCAAUGUAUUGGCCCUCAACCAGCCCACCACAGAGUCCAGGCACCAGUCCAGGGCUUGCACAGCCUCUCCUGAUUCAGAUGUUACAGAGAAAAAGAGCUGGGUAUCAUCAGCGUACUGCUGACACCUCACCCCAAAUCUCCUGAUGUCCGCUCCCAAGAGCUUCAUAUAGAUGUUAAACAGCAUGGGAGACAAGAUGGUAGCCUGCGGCAUCCCAUAGCACAACUGCCAGGAGGGGAAAUACAAUCGCCCAAUGCUAUUCUCUGAAAACAACCCUGGAGAUAGAAUCAGAACCACUGUAAAACAGUGCCAUCAAUACCCAUCUCACCAAGUCAGCUCAGAAGGAUAUUAUGGUCAAUGGUAUCAAAAGCUACCGAGAGACCAAGAAAGAAUAACAAGGUCACCCUCCCCCUCUCCUUCCGAAAAAGGUCAUCCAUCAGGGUGACCAAGGCCGAUUCAGUCCCAUAACCAGGCCUGAACUCAGACUGGGAUGGGUCAGGAUAAUCUGUUUCACCCAAGAGUACUUGCAAGUGCUGCACCACAACCCUCUCAAUCACCUUCCCUAAGAAGAGGAUAUUUGCGACUGGGCGGUAGUUGUCACAAACCAAUGGGUCCAGGAUGGGCUUCUUCAGGAGUGGUUGAAUCUUCGCCUCUUUCAGGGUGGCUAGAACGACUCCCUCCUGCAACAUUGUUCUACUGCUGGGUUUUGGUUGCAUUUUAUGCUUUUUCUGGGGUAAAUCUUAUUGAUAUAUUUGUUCUGAUGUAAAUCACAUUGAGAUAAUCCUUGACAAAAAAUGGACUACAAGAACGGCAAAUACAUAAAUAGAACAUAAAUAAUUAUCUCUUCUCCCCAAUUUUCUCUGCUUCUGUGACCAAUCUCUCACCAGUUGUUGCUGUUGAUUAAAUAAAAAAAUUAAUUUAUAUACCACCCUUCUUCCCAAAGGAGCUCUGAGUGGCAUCAUUGGUGAUCCCACCAUUGGUACUAAUGGGAGUAUUUCCCCCUAAAGCAGUAUAGAGGGCAAUUUGCAGCAGU